UCUUGAUGAAACUCAGGGCCCAAGUC
rnacentral:piRNA from 1 species